rnacentral:rRNA from 1 species
CCUACGGGAGGCAGCAGUAGGGAAUAUUGCUCAAUGGGGGAAACCCUGAAGCAGCAACGCCGCGUGGAGGAUGAAGGUUUUCGGAUUGUAAACUCCUUUUGUUAGAGAAGAUAAUGACGGUAUCUAACGAAUAAGCACCGGCUAACUCCGUGCCAGCAGCCGCGGUAAUACGGGGGAUGCAAGCGUUAUCCGGAUUUAUUGGGUUUAAAGGGUGCGUAGGCUGUGAGGUAAGUCAGCGGUGAAAUGCCCCCGCUCAACGGGGUGAAGUGCCAUUGAUACUGCCUUGCUGGAAUGCGGAUGCCGUGGGAGGAAUGUGUGGUGUAGCGGUGAAAUGCAUAGAUAUCACACAGAACACCGAUUGCGAAGGCAUCUCACGAAUCCGCGAUUGACGCUGAUGCACGAAAGCGUGGGUAUCAAACAGGAUUAGAUACCCGAGUAGUC